UAACAAAUAGGCGAUGGUGUUCGCCUUUAACUAUCAUAAAUAGAUAUGAUUAAUGACGCCUACUUAGAC
rnacentral:ncRNA from 2 species